CCUACGGGAGGCAGCAGUGAGGAAUAUUGGUCAAUGGGCGCGAGCCUGAACCAGCCAAGUCGCGUGAGGGAUGACGGUCCUACGGAUUGUAAACCUCUUUUGCCGGGGAGCAAGCGUGCGUUCGUGAACGCGCGUCGAGAGUACCCGGAGAAAAAGCAUCGGCUAACUCCGUGCCAGCAGCCGCGGUAAUACGGAGGGGGCAAGCGUUGUUCGGAAUGACUGGGCGUAAAGGGUGUGUAGGUGGUUUGAUAAGUUAGAUGUGUAAUACCCAGGGCUUAACUCGGGUGCUGCAUCUAAAACUGUUAGACGUGAGUACUGGAGAGGAGAGUGGAAUUCCUAGGGUAGCGGUGGAAUGCGUAGAUAUUAGGAGGAACAUCAGUGGCGAAGGCGACUAUCUGGACAGCAACUGACACUGAGGCACGAAAGCGUGGGGAGCAAACAGGAUUAGAUACCCCAGUAGUC
rnacentral:rRNA from 1 species